ensembl:misc_RNA Metazoa_SRP Metazoan signal recognition particle RNA
GCCAGGAGUGGUGGCGCAUGCCUGUAAUCCCAGCUACUCGGGAGGCUGAGGCAGGAGAAUUGCUUGAACCCAGGAGGUGGGGGUUGUGGUGAGCCAAGAUCGCAUCAUAGCAAUCCAGCCUGGGCAACAAGAGUGAAACUCCAUCUCAAAAAAAAAAUUUUACAGAGGAGGAAACUGAGGCAGGAGACUGAGGCAGGAGAACUGCUUGAACCUGGCGGGCAAAGGUUGCAGUGAGCCAAAAUUAAGCCACUGCAUUCCAGCCUGGGCAACAGAGCAAGACUCUGUUUUU